UGGGGAAUAUUGCACAAUGGGCGCAAGCCUGAUGCAGCCAUGCCGCGUGUAUGAAGAAGGCCUUCUGGUUGUAAAGUACUUUCAGCGGGGAGGAAGGUGUUGUGGUUAAUAACCGCAGCAAUUGACGUUACCCGCAGAAGAAGCACCGGCUAACUCCGUGCCAGCAGCCGCGGUAAUACGGAGGGUGCAAGCGUUAAUCGGAAUUACUGGGCGUAAAGCGCACGCAGGCGGUCUGUCAAGUCGGAUGUGAAAUCCCCGGGCUCAACCUGGGAACUGCAUUCGAAACUGGCAGGCUAGAGUCUUGUAGAGGGGGGUAGAAUUCCAGGUGUAGCGGUGAAAUGCGUAGAGAUCUGGAGGAAUACCGGUGGCGAAGGCGGCCCCCUGGACAAAGACUGACGCUCAGGUGCGAAAGCGUGGGGAGCAAACA
rnacentral:rRNA from 1 species